rnacentral:rRNA from 1 species
AUUGAACGCCGGCGGCAGGCUUAACACAUGCAAGUCGAGCGGAGAUGAGGUGCUUGCACCUUAUCUUAGCGGCGGACGGGUGAGUAAUGCUUAGGAAUCUGCCUAUUAGUGGGGGACAACAUUCCGAAAGGAAUGCUAAUACCGCAUACGUACUACGGGAGAAAGCAGGGGAUUUUCGGACCUUGCGCUAAUAGAUGAGCCUAAGUCGGAUUAGCUAGUUGGUGGGGUAAAGGACUACCAAGGCGACGAUCUGUAGCGGGUCUGAGAGGAUGAUCCGCCACACUGGGACUGAGACACGGCCCAGACUCCUACGGGAGGCAGCAGUGGGGAAUAUUGGACAAUGGGGGGAACCCUGAUCCAGCCAUGCCGCGUAUGUGAAGAAGGCCUUAUGGUCGUAAAGCACUUUAAGCGAGGAGGAGGCUACUGAGACUAAUACUCUUGGAUAGUGGACGUUACUCGCAGAAUAAGCACCGGCUAACUCUGUGCCAGCCGCCGCCGUAAAAC